AUGGAUGCAUGGAGAGGUCCAGGAGCAGACAACACUCACCAGGCUAUAUUUGAUGCAUAUGGAGCUUAUCUUCAUGGUUCUCAGGGCACCAAUAUAAGCCAACAACAACAAUGGUUAAGUUCUGCUUCUCUGAAUCAAAUGCCAUAUCAUGCAUACCCCUGGAUGCAAUACCCAGUGUAUGUUGCUGCUGAUGACAAUACAAUGCAAGGGAAUGACCAAAACAAUGUGAGCUUUCAUACAAACAUGAGUGGAGACACUUCAAAGGGCAAGUCCACUCAAAUGUCUCCACCACUCCAACACCCUGUAGAGACCAUGGUGCAUGAUGCCCCCAUAUCAUACAUGCAGCUACUCCUUGCUGCUGAACAAGAGGGGCUAGAUACGGAUCCUCACAAUCGCAAGAAGAUCACCUAG
rnacentral:rRNA from 1 species